AGUGUCUAGCCCCGGUGGUUCCACAUGGGAAAAAAAAGUUUGGAUCAGUCGCUGUCUAUUCCUAUGGAGACACAAUAACAUUUGAGUGCAAUCCUGGCUACUCCCUGAGGGGAGGUAGUGAUGGUGUGAUUCGAUGCGCAGAGGAUAACACCUGGAAGCCUUCUGUGCCAAUCUGUGACCCCCGACCGGCGGCAAAUUCAACAGAAGAGGAAGCUCAACCUAAAUCAGGGAAUGCAUAUAAAAUAGCUUUUGGUGUUCUAGCACCAGUCGUGGUGGGUUGUGUCAUUUGCAUUGGAGGUGUACUUCUGUACCAGAAGAAAAAGGG